rnacentral:lncRNA from 1 species
CACUAAUAGCAAUACCUAUUACAUAAUGCCUUAAAACAUAUACCUACUUUGAGGUAAUAAACCUCACAAUCAGUCACUGCGGCAAAGAGUGAUAAAGCAUUAUCUUUUUACUCUCUUUUCACAGGCGUAGGGGUAUAUGAGCCGAGGUAAAAGAGUUUACUAGAGGUCAAUUGAGAGAUAUUAUGAGAACUGGUGUUAAAAGUAGGGUUUUCCAGUUCUGUUUGUAUGCUUAGGGCUCUUGAUAUUGCUGCUUCAUUGGUCCUUUUACUCUAAUAUAAAUGAAUGUGUUAUGACAAGAAUGUUAAAGAACAAAAUUUCCGAAAGAUUAUUGUGUAAUUAUUUCUGUGUCAUGCUACCUGUAAGAUGAAUGAUUUAUCUUCUCUUGGUAGAUGAGUGCACAUCAGCAUUAGUGUGUUGCACACAGAAUCAGAGAGAGGAAGUUUUGUCCUUUAAAGUUUUAUUUAAAGAGGAGAAAUGAGCGCGCUUUACAGCAAACACCUUUUCCUAAUGCACUUAAUAAUUCUAUGUUUCAGAGCAGUGUAUGGCUAGUGACCUGUCUUCCCGAGGAGAAUGGCCAAGAUGUCUGUUUGGAAUUAUUCCUGGGAUUAGACCAGCAUGAGGUCUCCUCUACCAAUCUGAGGGGAAAUGGAGUUUUUGAACUGACUCUCAACACUUGAUGCACAUUUGGCCGGAGGCCAAGGUGAAUCAGAAUAAACAUCCAGAAGAAAAUGCCA